rnacentral:rRNA from 1 species
UACGUAGGUGGCGAGCGUUGUCCGGAAUUACUGGGCGUAAAGGGUGCGUAGGCGGGUAAUUAAGUCAGAUGUGAAACCCCAGGGCUUAACUUUGGGAUUGCAUUUGAAACUGAUUACCUAGAGUGCAGGAGAGGGAAGCGGAAUUCCUAGUGUAGCGGUGAAAUGCGUAGAUAUUAGGAAGAACACCAGUGGCGAAGGCGGCUUUCUGGACUGUAACUGACGCUGAGGCACGAAAGCGUGGGGAG